UGGGGUUGCCUAGCAACUUGCUAACUUGUAUAAACUCAGCUUUCCCUCAACAGAAAGAAAUGAAGGAAAACCAAGUCAGUGAAAGACAAUCUUUAUUGUUUCAGGAGUAAAUCUGUAUGUGGCUUUUGUCAAACACUUAAAUGGAUAUAAACGCAGCAACUUGUUUGAAAAGAUGCACAAUUAACCUCCCGGAAGAGUUGCUACUUGCCUUUUCAAGUUGUCAACCGACACACAUUUGAUAUUCUCUUAGAUGUUAUAGUAACGUAACGUAUAAACUCAAGGCUUUUUAUUCUUUGUGAUAAGUCCUGUUUUACGACGUCAGAAAACAGGAACCAGCAUUCUAAUUAGAUUUACUACAUGGAGAUAUGGUUCAAAUAGGACUAUUAGAGUUCAUUGAACACUAAAACUAUGAAACAAUUACUUUUUAUAUUAAAAAGACCAUGGAUUUAACUUACAAAAAUCCAAAUGCAGGAUAGUAAUUUUUGUUUACUUUUUUAACCAAACUGAAUUUUUUGAAAGACUAUCGCAGGUGUUCAAAAAGAAAGAAGCCGUUUUAUCUAAUAGUGUAAGUAGAUGUCACUCAUGGAAAAUCUACUAGUUUUAGGGUUAAGAUAUCUCCUCUCCUUGGUUAGGGAAGAAGAAAGCCCUUCGCCAUUGUGGAAUGACACCCUGGCUUUAAGCUCCACAUCACGCUUCUUUUGAGAAUUAUAUUUGGUAGUUACAAUUACAGAAACUAAUUAGUUUGUCAGUUCGCAGAUAGAUUUAGCACAGUACUCAUCACUCUGGGUAGAUAAGAUGUUCUUUCACAGCGGAUGAAUGGUCUGGAACACUGUAAGAUACUGAUCUUUACAACUGUUUAAUCAGUUUUAUUUUUGUACAGUAUUAGUGACCUAAGUUAUUUUGCUGUCCCGUUUUUUGUAAAUCAAAUGAAAUUAUAAAAGAGGAUUCUGACCGUAGGUAUUUUGUACAUAUGUAUAUAUGUUGUCCAAAUAAAAAUAAUAAAUGAU
rnacentral:lncRNA from 1 species